GCGAGAGUAGUUUAAUGGGAGAACGUGACCUUCCCAAGGUCAAGGCGGGGGUUCGAUUCCCCUCUCUCGCUCCA
rnacentral:tRNA from 1 species